GAUGAACGCUGGCGGCGUGCCUAAUACAUGCAAGUCGAGCGAACAGACGAGGAGCUUGCUCCUCUGACGUUAGCGGCGGACGGGUGAGUAACACGUGGAUAACCUACCUAUAAGACUGGGAUAACUUCGGGAAACCGGAGCUAAUACCGGAUAAUAUAUUGAACCGCAUGGUUCAAUAGUGAAAGACGGUUUUGCUGUCACUUAUAGAUGGAUCCGCGCCGCAUUAGCUAGUUGGUAAGGUAACGGCUUACCAAGGCGACGAUGCGUAGCCGACCUGAGAGGGUGAUCGGCCACAAUGGAACUGAGAACCGGGCCAGACUCCCACGGGAGGCAGCAGUAGGGAAUCUUCCGCAAUGGGCGAAAGCCUGACGGAGCAACGCCGCGUGAGUGAUGAAGGUCUUCGGAUCGUAAAACUCUGUUAUUAGGGAAGAACAAAUGUGUAAGUAACUAUGCACGUCUUGACGGUACCUAAUCAGAAAGCCACGGCUAACUACGUG
rnacentral:rRNA from 1 species